GCCAGUGUGGUACAGUGGUUUGAGUGCUGAAUUACAACUGUGGAGACCAGGGUUCGAAUCCCUGCUCAACCA